rnacentral:rRNA from 1 species
AAAUUGAAGAGUUUGAUCAUGGCUCAGAUUGAACGCUGGCGGCAGGCCUAACACAUGCAAGUCGAGCGGUAGCACAGAGAGCUUGCUCUCGGGUGACGAGCGGCGGACGGGUGAGUAAUGUCUGGGAAACUGCCUGAUGGAGGGGGAUAACUACUGGAAACGGUAGCUAAUACCGCAUAAUGUCGCAAGACCAAAGUGGGGGACCUUCGGGCCUCAUGCCAUCAGAUGUGCCCAGAUGGGAUUAGCUAGUAGGUGAGGUAACGGCUCACCUAGGCGACGAUCCCUAGCUGGUCUGAGAGGAUGACCAGCCACACUGGAACUGAGACACGGUCCAGACUCCUACGGGAGGCAGCAGUGGGGAAUAUUGCACAAUGGGCGCAAGCCUGAUGCAGCCAUGCCGCGUGUGUGAAGAAGGCCUUCGGGUUGUAAAGCACUUUCAGCGGGGAGGAAGGCG